rnacentral:SRP_RNA from 1 species
GCCGGGCGCGGUGGCUCACGCCUGUAAUCCCAGCACUUUGGGAGGCUGAGACCGGUGGAUCGCCUGAGGUCAGGAGUUCGAGACCAGCCUGGCCAACAUGGUGAAACCCCGUCUCUA